CGGUGGAGUAUGUGGUUUAAUUCGACGCAACGCGAAGAACCUUACCUGGGCUCGAACGGCUAGUGACAGGUGGCGAAAGUCGCUUUUCCCGCAAGGGACAUUAGUCGAGGUGCUGCAUGGCUGUCGUCAGCUCGUGUCGUGAGAUGAUGGGUAAAGUCCCGCAACGAGCGCAACCCCUGCCUUUAGUUGCCACCAGGUUAUGCUGAGCACUCUAAAGGGACUGCCGGUGAAAAACCGGAGGAAGGUGGGGAUGACGUCAAGUCCUCAUGGCCUUUAUGUCCAGGGCUACACACGUACUACAAUGGGUGGCACAAUGAGUCGCAAACCCGCGAGGGGAGCCAAUCUCAAAAAACCACUCUCAGUUCGGAUUGUCCUCUUCUUUUAUCGACUGCAUGAAGCUGGAAUCGCUAGUAAUCGCUGAUCAGCAAGCAGCGGUGAAUACGUUCCCG
rnacentral:rRNA from 1 species